CACGUAGGGCGCGAGCGUUGUCCGGAAUUACUGGGCGUAAAGAGCUCGUAGGUGGUUUGUCGCGUUGUUCGUGAAAACUCACAGCUUAACUGUGGGCGUGCGGGCGAUACGGGCAGACUUGAGUACUGCAGGGGAGACUGGAAUUCCUGGUGUAGCGGUGGAAUGCGCAGAUAUCAGGAGGAACACCGGUGGCGAAGGCGGGUCUCUGGGCAGUAACUGACGCUGAGGAGCGAAAGCGUGGGGAGCGAACAGG
rnacentral:rRNA from 1 species